AUUGAACGCUGGCGGCAGGCUUAACACAUGCAAGUCGAGCGGAGAUGAGGUGCUUGCACCUUAUCUUAGCGGCGCACGGGUGAGUAACACGUAGGUAAUCUACCUUCGAGUGGGGGAUAACCUUCCGAAAGGAGGGCUAAUACCGCAUAAGACCACGACCUCGCGAGGGGAGGGGGUCAAAGCCGGCCACUAUACAUAAGCUGGCGCUUGAAGAUGAGCCUGCGGCCCAUCAGCUAGUUGGGAGGGUAACGGCCUACCAAGGCGAAGACGGGUAGCUGGUCUGAGAGGAUGAUCAGCCACACUGGAACUGAGACACGGUCCAGACUCCUACGGGAGGCAGCAGUGGGGAAUCUUGCGCAAUGGGCGAAAGCCUGACGCAGCGACGCCGCGUGGGUGAUGAAGGCCUUCGGGUUGUAAAGCCCUGUGGAGGGGGAAGAAUAAGUCUUGGCUAACAUCCAAGAUGAUGACGGUACCCCUUUAGCAAGCACCGGCUAACUCUGUGCCAGCCGCCGCAGUAAGAC
rnacentral:rRNA from 1 species